rnacentral:tRNA from 1 species
GGGGAGAUGCACGGCAACUGGACGCCGAUGUAAGCCCUACAAAGGAAACGCCGGGCAAUCGGGUGAUAUAGUAUCAGGUGGAUUGAGGUGCUAGCGGGUAACACCGUGGGGGUUCAAGUCCCCCUCUCCGCACCA